UGUUAAGUUCCCUAGGCGUCAUGAUAGUCAACACUUCAUCCUACAGGAUAUCACAGGAUCCAAAAUGGAAGCAAUUUCAAGCCGCAAUAAUGUUCCAUGUUUCGAUGCCUUACUCACACAAGGAUGCACAUAUACAUUGUAUAGAGUGGGAUUCUGUCUAAAUAGGGAGGGGAUUCAAUUUCGGAAUAUUGGACAUGGGCUAGAGAUCGGACUGAUAACACAUACUAUUGUGGAGCCAUUCAUUAAGCCAAUCCAAUUUCCUCCAUUUCCAAAGUAUCUUAUGCCAUUCCAUAAGGUGUAUCAACAACCACAUAAGUCGUUCGUAGACAUUAUUGGCAUAGUUCUUCAUUUAGAGCCAUUAAAGCAUAUUGGUGGAAGGCCGUAUAGAGAGGCUGUACUAAUGGAUUCCAGGUGGGAUCUAAUCGUCGUGGGGGUAUGGACUGACCUCUUGCAAAGAAAUGCUCUACGAUGGUCGUUAGCUAGAGUUGACAAUAACAUAAUUAUUGGAACUAUGCUGCGUCGUAACAAUAAACACAG
rnacentral:misc_RNA from 1 species